rnacentral:snoRNA from 1 species
GCAUGGUAAUGGAUUUAUGGUGGGCCUUUCUCUGUGGGCCUCUCAUAGUGUACCCAUGCCAGAGUAAACUACAGCCUUGAACCAUUGCCCAGCCUCCUUGUCCAUGGGCUGUGAGCACUGAAGAAGGUUGCACAGUU